CCAACAUUUGCAGCGGAAAUAAAUUCUUUAUUGCAAAAUGAUUACAUGUUACAAUAAGUUUACAUUAGACAAUUAUCGGAGUGAUUACAAAAGAAAGUGAUUCAAAAGAAUUACAAUUUAAAAUGUAUAAAAUAUUUACAGGUUUUAAAAUACAUGCUAGCUUAAGUGACAAUCCUCAAUAAAGAAGCUAAAGAUGGGAUAUACUUAUAUAAGAAGGCCGAGCCCACCGGCACUUAGCACCAUCCACAACAGAACAAACUUAUAAUCCUGAAAAAACAACAGGGAAUAAAACCCUGAGUACGCAAUUACUCAGCAAGACUUACCCGACUAAGAAAAGACUCUCAAGGAUAUGCUAGUUUGUCGGGAAUCAAGGUAAAGCUUAUCAAAUUUCAAAGACUCAUUUUCGCAGAAAAGCUUACUAGUAGUGGAUCCUUAUGCAAAAAGUUUACUUCACAAAUUAAGUACUUUUCCUGAAUCUAGAUUUGCCUAAUCUAGAGCAUUCACUUGUCCUACACUAGCUUUAUUUUAGCAGCAUUUAGUUUCACUUGUUAUCUACGAUGUGGGUCGAAGAUCCAGUCUUCAUAUCCGAGAAGUUCGGCGAUCCGAAUCGAUUAAUACCCAGCUGGGGAUCUCCAACCACACGACAUAUGUAGCACUUAACCCUUGCAUAUGUCAACUCGCCCACGAGUUUCUCAAGACCAGAACGGGUCCCCGCCAACCGAGAGCUCAGUACCCCACCAUCCAGCCUCUUGCCAGGUGGAUACACGAUACUCUCGCCAUCUCUCCACUCCCAUUGCGGGCCGGCCUUUCUGGUAUUGGUCUGACCGAGGCGAAGCUUACCCAUGACGAGGCAUGUGGCCAGUUAAAGGGUCCUAGAUCAGCAGGCCAACAAUCGGAACGGUCCUUAAGCGACACAGACGGGCGACCUUUCCUGCUCAACGUCUGGUCUCAUAUUAAGUUAUUUCCGAAAACCUGGUACCUGUCAGAGGUACCCUACUGAAAUGAUGAAGUCAUCAAGGCCUUUGAUACCUUCAUCACUCCAGCCUCUUUUCUUUGUAAAAACAUGAUUCAUAGAUCAAAACAUUUUAUUCUUAGUCUAUGAGCAUACUAAGCACAUCUAGCUUUUUAAAACAGGUAUCAAAGAUGGCAAUCAAUAGUUCAAGGAAGUUAUGCAACAAAGGUUUAAUCAUUCAACUCCUACCACCUAAUGCAGCAUAUAAGUGAUAAAAGUUUAAAAACAGCAAUGGGGUGGCAAAUGCACCGGGGCUUGCCUGAGAUAACACUAGGUUAGUGUUGUUAGAUGACGUCCACUUGGCGAGCAUCUCACAUCCUAGCGCUUGAUCCGAUCAUGCAAAUCUUCAAGUUUAUUCAUCAGUAUCCCUUGCGAAGAAACACACGCUAAACAGCAUCUCGUGGUCGACUCAGCUUGACUUCCGCAUCACGUG
rnacentral:lncRNA from 1 species